rnacentral:rRNA from 1 species
GACGUAGGUGGCGAACGUUAUCCGGAAUUAUUGGGCGUAAAGGGUGCGUAGGUGGUCUGAUAAGUUAUCAGUGGCAAAUCGAGGCUCAACCUCGUGGAAACUGGUAAUACUGUCCGACUUGAGUACAGGAGAGGUUAACGGAACUCUAUGUGGAGCGGUAAAAUGCACAGAUAUAUAGAAGAACAUCAAUAACGGCGAAGGCAGUUAACUAUUCUGUUAACUGACACUGAGGCACGAAAGCGUGGGGAGCAAAACGG